UCCAGCAGUAUCAGUUCCGACACACCAGGGCGAUUUGAACAGUCGCGCACGGGCUCUUCCGUUUGUCUGUUCACAAGCUUGACUCCGAACACUAGCAGGCCUGACCCCAUGGACACAACCCCCAGUGGCUCAACUCCAAGCACCA